CCCCCCUCCCUCCCCCUGUCUCUCCUCUUCCUCCUUCUCCUCCUCCCCCACUGACAGGCCGCUGGAGUCUCCGGAUUUCGGAGCACAAGGACACACUCUUCGUCCUUCGGAGGCUUCCUCCACUCUCUCCCUCCAACACUUUUUCUGUGGAUGGGCUCCUGACCAACCGGCAGGAGCCGCUCCAGUGAAUGUUAAUAACCCCUCUGCCCUACCUCCGCAGCCCCAGCAGCCGGCUGCCAAGCCUCGUGCAAAGGCAGUGGGUCCGGUUCCAAAGUGGGUCAGGAACCUUCGGGCCCUCAUAAAGUUGAGGAACGGGCAACGCCGCCCCCCAAGGUAAGAGCCCUGCUGGACCUUCUGCCAGGGCUACCCCCAGGUAGCCUCAUUAACUUUCAUUUUAGUUAAAUUUAAUACUAGUUUAAUUUGAAAUAUUUUAGCAAUGUGUGAUUUCCUGGAUGUGAUCGAUCAGAUUUUAUUGGAAUGAGUCUGUUGUGAUUAUGUCUGAUCAGAUCUACUCCAGAUUUAUUUGAAUUUAAUUUGAAAUAUUUUAGCAAUGUGUGAUUUCCUGGAUGUGAUCGAUCAGAUUUUAUUGGAAUGAGUCUGUUGUGAUUAUGUCUGAUCAGAUCGACUCCAGAUUUAUUUGAAUUAUUUGUCUUAGACUGGGUUUUGUGUGAUUCUUUGAGCUCGGUUCUUGUCAGUGGGACUCUGGUCAGGGUGCCUGUAAGAGGUGUGAGUGGAUCUGGGGGGGAUGGUGUGAAACAUCCAGCGGUCCCCCCCUUACAGUGAAGCUCCGCUGAAAGGUGAACAGGAUGCAGACAUCAUGUCACGGAGGAGGAACAUGUGUCUGUAUCCCACCCUGGACCCUCACUGGAGUCUACAGCCACAAUGUUAGUGCGGCUGGAUGAACCCGAGCAGAGAGCACACGGGAAGAAAGGACUGAGAGUUUUAAUGUGUCAAAGGCAGGGAUCUGUUGACCAGGGAGGACUGGUCUUUUAUGGUGGAGGUGUAAUCAGUUCAGAUGUCGUUCAGCUGCUCAUGAUUCAGUGGGAGGGAGAUUGGUAAUUAGUUGCAGCUGGUGAGGGCGGUCCUGUGAGCAACACGGAGAGGGAGAGCGAGUGGGAGAGAGAAAGGAUCAGGUGGAGACAGAGGUCCUGAUACACAAAGAUCAGAGUUCAGGGAGUCACACUGGGAUAUAAGGGGUGGGGGGUUAAAUGUGUUAUUUAAAAUCAGGGUGAAGGUCUCGCCACCUGAGGAAAGUCUCCAGAAAUAAAGGUAAGAAGUCAGUCAGGAUCCUGUGAAUGCUGCUGCAUGAGAAGGUGAGUUUGGGAUUUGUGUUUUUCAUCCAUGCAUCUCAUAUUUUGACAUCUCAAUAAUGACAACGCCUCGACGAGAUUCUGCCGCGUUUUUCUUUUUGGUUUCUUUCAGGCGGACGACCCCGGGACCCAAGACAGAGACGAGGACGACCCCAGGAGACGACAAAAGACGAGACAGCGAAGACCAGUGAAGACGAGCGACCGAACCCCGACAGAAGAAGCCAGAGACGACGACCGGCCAGUGAGGAGAAGGAACAACGACUUUACUGAGACUUUACUGGAUGCGCUGGUGCUUCAGAGAUGAUGGGAGGCAGAUCCAGGACCAGUGCAUGGCUCAUGAGACCAUUCAAUUAACACAAGAGCUCUCUCUCCAAGACCACCAGACUAAUAAAAGAUCAAAUCAAGAAACAAGACCAGGACCAGCCCAUGAUGUGGAAGAGGGGAUGAUUAUUAUAGUGACACAGAAGGAGGAAGUCAGAACACCCAGAGAAAAACCAUGCAGUCCCAGAGAGAUCAUGAACAGAAAAUGAACUGAGCAGCAGAAGACAAAGAAAGAGUUGGAGGAGCCCCAAGAUGACGGAUCAGCGACAGAAGAACCAGGACGGGAAGAUGAAGAAGAUAAAGACCAGUCCAAACAAAGAAGAAGAUGAACUCCUCCAGAUAUCACCAAAGGUUUCUCUGAAUCUUGGAGCUCCAUGUGUCUGAUCCACUGUUUUUGGCCUCAGCGACCUCCAAAGCCUUCAACUUCUCUCCCUCCUCUUUACCCUCAAACCAACCAGAGUUUUGCUUUUAUUUUUCUUCCCAGAGGGAAGUUUUUUUUCCUUACCCCAACUGGAGGUUUUUUUCAACUUCCUGGCAACAGGAAGUUUUUUUCCUCCAGAUGGGCUUGAUUUGAUCACACUACAAAAAGAGAGAGCCUCAAAUAAAAAACAAAACAACACAACAGAACUGCAUCUGUUUAAAAGUGUAACAAGACGGACCCUUCAUUUAAUAUUUGUUUUUGGAGAACAUAUUUUAUGGCUACAAAACAAUGUUAGUCUGAAUCAGAAAGCCUUUAUUGCCAAGUGAGUCCACACAGGGAAUUUGAUUUGGUGCCUGGCAACAACAACAGACAGUAAAAGUCUGAAAAACGUGGUUUCAAGCCACUGGUUUCUCAAAAACGCCUGGACUCCAUCUUAAAACUGCACAGCAUUGGAACAUACUGCUGGUUGUGUGAUUACUUGGGGUUAAUACACGAGGUAGUAAAUUUGCUAAAUGCACAAAUGCUGCUUACAGUGGUAUUAACAGAUUGUACUAAUUUAAAACUACACUACAAAUUCUGCAGGGUUUCUAUUAGAGUACUUUUACAUAUUUCUCACAAUGGCCUUCACAACUUAAAACAAGUCUGAUGGAUAUUUAUUCAGGUGAAUUUUUUGCCUGAAAUAACAAUAAUUAAUGAACAAUAAUUAGAUAACCGUUUAUGUGGCUGACGUUGAUAUUUUAAUAGACUGGACUGACAGAAUUGUUUAUCCACCAGUUUGAUUCUCUGUCUAAUUUAAAGUCAGAUUCAUGCUUUAAUUGAUGGAAAACUAAAUUUAAAUUGAAGUAACUGACUGAAAUUAGCCUAAUAAUUACAGGACAUCAAUAAUUACGCCGCCUUUAUACAACCUCCACCUUGCUCAUGAGCAAAUAUGUAUUUACAAACAUUUAAAAAUGGAGUUUGCACCAGAUAAACAAGCUCUGUUUUCAAUUCAUGCAGUAUUUUGUUUAAAGAUCUUGACUACAGUAACUGAAAAUGUCACUGAUGGAACAAAUCUGAUAUUGAAGUGAAUCAUUUUAAAGGUGGCGCAGAAACACUGGCAGCUGUGAAGGUUUUUGAAUUUUACUGGUAAUCAUUUUUAAUGUUCAGUGUUCUAUACAUCAUAAUGAAUAUACCAAAACAAGAGUGCAAUGGCUUCAACAUUAUUUUUCUGUGGCAGGUAGCUGAUAGUAACAUAUAGUACAAAUACUAUACCUCAUACUGAUUGUUUAGGCCCAAACAAGAGGUGGCUGUUGAAUUGGAAAAAAAAUGCUUCUCUCAGAACAAGAAAAAAAAACUUAUUUCAAGGAAUUUUUACCUUGAAAUAAGUGGAAAAAAAUCUGGCAAUAGAACAAGCGAAAAAUGGUUUGGUAAGAUUUCUUGAAAUAAGAUAUGAUGCUUAGAAUAUUGAGAUGUCAAAAUUAAAUGGGAAAACUUGUUUUAAUCUAUAUUUUAUCAGGAUUGUCAAACUUCGGUGUCCUAAAAUAAUAUCAAUUUUUCACUCAAAAAUAGAUUUCCGCUGUCAUGUAACCUCCUAAUUUGAGAUGUUUCAACCCUGCAGUCGCCCGCGGAGCGGGAGGUCGUCGGAUCGAUCCCAGGCGACGGCCGGAUUCCGCGCGGCCGGUUCGGCCGGCCCGGGCGAGUCGGGACCGACGAAACGAAGCGGUGACGCGUACGGUACCGUCACACGCGCGCAACGGUACCGUUAUGUGCGUGCGGCGGCGCUGCGUUCAAAAUACUCUGCUGUUACACUGUACAUGAUAUUAUGUUUUGUGCACAAACUGUUAAAACUAAAUGAAAAUCAUACAUAAAUCAUACAUGUACUCUGUAUAUACUGAUAUACAUGUACUGUGCAGCAAUGUGCAUGUGCUCUGUGUAUGUGCUCUGUGUGUGUGCAGUAAUGUGCAUGUAUUCUGAUUUAUUACUCUAUUAACUGACUGUUUCCCUCCAGGAGACUGUGCAGAACCAGAACCUCUCGACUCCAUCUGCCUCUCAGUGAACAUCAGCUUUUACUAGAACUCUUAUUCCAUGUCAGGAAUUUAACUUUUACAUUUAUACAGGCUGAUGUCCUCACCUUCUCCUCAGUUGUAAUACUUAUUUUUAACUUUCACUACUACUGCUACCAGUACUAUUAAUACUACUUUAAAUGUACCACUCCUCUCUCAGUAACCCACUUUACACAGACACCAUAAAUGCUGCUGUUUAUGUCUUUAUAUUGUUGUGCUUUCUUUCUUUUCUCCUUUACUUGUGGUUCUUAUUUUAUUUCUUUGAUUACUGCACUCAGAGCUGAGACUCACCAGAGUCACAUUUGUCAUUUUUGUGUAAAACUGGGCAUCAAGAGUUGAUUCUGAUUUCAUUCAUUUCUUUCUUCUGUUAUUCUAUUUCUUCUUUCUUCUAUUUCAUGCUGUGUUUUUGAUUUAUUCCUGCUGGAACCAGAACCGGGACCUGUCCGACAUGUUCUACGCUGACCUUCAGACCUCAGGAUCCAGCUGAUAGAUCCUGAUGAUCAGGUUGACCUCUGUGUUAGCGUGUUUUACUAAGCUGCUGAAGAUGCAGAUUUUUCUUUCAUUCAUGAUCAUGUCAGACUGAAGAACCAAACAACAAACUGUCAUAAAUCAGAAUCUGUCUUCAGCCUUCAACAUCUGAACUGAAAGGCCAACAGGCUGGUUUUAAUCCAGAAGGUUCCAGCAGCUUCAUGGAGAUCUUUAUACUGGGACACAACCAGAAGGAAUGCAGUGGUAUCAACAAGAAUUCAACUACUGGAUGCAUCAGUGAUUUCUGGAUGUUCUGAUGGACCCAGCAGAACAUCUGAAGUGCUUCAUAAUAAAUACACAUAAAAUCAGUUCUAAUAAUAAAGAACAGCAUAUUUUUGACACCAGCAAUUAAAGCAGAAGAAGACAGAUAUAUUGAUCAGUGAUCAAGUUUUUAGCUGCACAUGAACUGAUCCUGAUCAGAAAGUAUGUAAGUAUUAAUAUUAAUAAUAAUAUUAAUGUCAUGUGGUGCAUUAAGAUGUAAUCAGACGCUGAAUUAAAGUGUUUAACAGCUUUAAUCCAUCUGGUUUAAACAAUACAGCGUCUAUGUAUAUUAUUGUACGUUGGCACAUUAAUAAAACUGUUAUUGAGAGCAGCUUUUUGUGAUUUCUAUGCAGAACACUAUGAUGUUUGCUGAGCUGUGCACUAUUAAAUGAUUUAAGAAUAUGGAAUAUUGCUACUGUUUAUUAUUGUUCUCAGGUUUACUGUUAAAUGUACAGAGUGUUGCUUAUUGUAUUUUACUGUUUUUUUAUCAUUUACAUUAUUGCACAGAAUAUUUCAGAUUAUUUUACCACAGAUCAGGGGUACAGAUUGUUGUUGUUCACUGUGUAUUGGGUAGUACUCAUUUUGAUUUAGACUGAUUAGUAUACAGAACCCUGUGAUGUUUCUGGUUUACAGCUAAGAACUAGUUGCUAAAAGUACAGAAUAUUAUUUCUUAUUUUAGGUGUGAUAAUUGUCAGUAAACAUUCUGAGAAGUGGAAAUCCUCAGGGUUGUAUAUAGUGCUGUUCUUGUACAAUAUUUGUCACUUAAUUGCCCUCAGGAUACUGUCAUUGAGCUUACCAGUUUUACAUAACAGGCAGAUGCUGCAGCUAAUGAUGCUGUAAUUCACAUAAACAAGGAAACAAGUCCAUCAUAAUUUGAAUGUUAACAUUCCAAAAUGAAAGCUUUCCUACUGGGUUAAAGAGCCAAAAAAAAAACCAUGAAAAAUACUCUGUAAAAGCGAGAGGUCGGUAGCUGUUUUCAUUUUUUCUAACAACUUUUCAGUGCCCACCAAAAUAUCUGUUGUACCACCCUGUGCCCCCCCACUAAAAUGAAUCUGGAUCUGCCCCUGUUCUGCACUGCAUAUGCGUUAAAAAUUUUAAUCAGAUUAAUCUUGAUGAUUGAUAACGCGUUAAUUUUGACAGCCCUCGUAUAUUUGCUUAACAGCUAAGAGACUGCAAGAAAAAGCUGUAAGAUCUGGAAGCUUGUGUCCUUAAGAGCCGUACUUUUAAGUAAAGACUAGGUAGAAUUCAAAUUACAUUUGGUUUUUUAAAAGUCAAAAUUGUUUUUAUUCAUCCAUGCUUGUCACGUAUCCAGAACGGGUGCCUGCACAACGCAAGGAAAUAUGAGCUAAGGACUGAAGACAACCACAAAAACAUACUGACUUGUACAGAUUAAAAAGACGUACUGCAAACUGACUUAACGCCAGCAUCAAAAUUGCAAUACAUGUGUGUUUGUACUUUUUUUUUUCUAUAUUGGGCAGCAAGUUUAUGAUAUGACACGAACAGACUCCAUCAGAAUAUCAGCUCUCCAGAUUUGAUCGGAUGGGAAAAAACUGUUUUAAUUGACGGGUUGGCUGGUGACUUCCUCAGAAAGGCAAUGAGAAGCAGUUAAAUUCCUGGCACUGGGUUAUUUGUGCUCCUUCUGAGCCCUCCCUUUCCUAAUAUGUUUCUCACACUACAGAAA